rnacentral:rRNA from 1 species
AGAGUUUGAUCAUGGCUCAGAUUGAACGCUGGCGGUAUGCUUAACACAUGCAAGUCGAACGGUAACAGAACUAGCUUGCUAGUUGCUGACGAGUGGCGGACGGGUGAGUAACGCGUAGGGAUCUACCUAACAAUGGGGGAUAGCCCGGUGAAAACCGGAUUAAUACCGCAUACGUCCUAAGGGAGAAAGGGUGCCUCUUCAUGAAAGCAUUCGUUGUUAGAUGAACCUGCGUCGGAUUAGCUAGUUGGUGAGGUAAUGGCUCACCAAGGCGACGAUCCGUAGCUGGUCUGAGAGGAUGACCAGCCACACUGGGACUGAGACACGGCCCAGACUCCUACGGGAGGCAGCAGUGGGGAAUAUUGCGCAAUGGGCGAAAGCCUGACGCAGCAAUACCGCGUGUGCGAAGAAGGCCUGAGGGUUGUAAAGCACUUUCAGUGGGGAGGAAAGGUUGCGUGUUAAUAGCACGUAGCUGUGACGUUACCCACAGAAGAAGCACCGGCUAACUCCGUGCCAGCAGCCGCGGUAGUACGGAGGGUGCAAGCGUUAAUCGGAAUUACUGGGCGUAAAGCGCGCGUAGGCGGCUUGUUAAGUCGGAUGUGAAAGCCCUGGGCUCAA